AAUUAAUAAAGUAUUAUUUGGCAUUAUUCAUCAUUUCAUCUUCAAAUGAACUCUUAUAUGAUGAAGUCCUUAGGACUUAUGUUAUGAUAAAGGAGGAUUUAUCUUUGAGUCUUUAAACUUGUUCGCGACCAAAUGAUAUGUUGUUACUAGGAGGACAACAUUAUCGAGAUUAGGUCGUUGUGUGACAUAUACGUUGGUUGUCCUCUUAACCAAGGAGUGUGGAGACACUGGUAUGCCAUACAGGUGAAGUGUAGGAGUACAUUUUACUGAACGUGACCAAUUCCGGAAUGCUCUACUGUCGAGAGAUGUUCCGAGUGGAUAUGGGUAUAAGUUUGGCCCUCUGACCUAAGAUCGCAACCUAUGACUAGC
rnacentral:lncRNA from 1 species